UUCCGGUUGAUCCUGCCGGACCCGACUGCUAUCAGAGUGAGAUUAAGCCAUGCGAGUUAACGUAGCAAUACGUGGCGCACGGCUCAGUAACACGUAGUCAACAUGCCCAGAGGACGUGGAUAACCUCGGGAAACUGAGUCUAAACCGCGAUAAGUGAGGAUUUCUGGAAUGGUUCCUGACUAAAAUCUAUAUGGCCUCUGGAUUGGACUGCGGCCGAUCAGGCUGUUGGUGAGGUAAUGGCCCACCAAACCUGUAACCGGUACGGGCUCUGAGAGGAGGAGCCCGGAGAUGGGCACUGAGACAAGGGCCCAGGCCCUAUGGGGCGCAGCAGGCGCGAAACCUCUGCAAUAGGCGAAAGCCUGACAGGGUUACUCUGAGUGACUUUCGCUAAGAAAGUCUUUUGGCACCUCUAAAAAGGGUGCAGAAUAAGGGGUGGGCAAGUCUGGUGUCAGCCGCCGCGGUAAUACCAGCACCCCGAGUGGUCGGGACGAUUAUUGGGCCUAAAGCAUCCGUAGCCGGUUCUGCAAGUCCCCCGUUAAAUCCAGCUGCUCAACAGAUGGGCCGCGGAGGAUACUACAGAGCUAGGAGGCAGGAGAGGCAAGCGGUACUCAGUGGGUAGGGGUAAAAUCCGUUGAUCCAUUGAAGACCACCAGUGGCGAAGGCGGCUUGCCAGAAUGCGCUCGACGGUGAGGGAUGAAAGCUGGAGGAGCAAACCGGAUUAGAUACCCGGGUAGUCCCAG
rnacentral:rRNA from 1 species